rnacentral:rRNA from 1 species
CAUAUCAAUAAGCGGAGGAAAAGAAACUAACCAAGGAUUCCCCUAGUAACUGCGAGUGAAGCGGGAAAAGCUCAAAUUUAAAAUCUGUCAGUCUUUGACUGUCCGAGUUGUAAUCUAGAGAAGUGUUAUCCGCGCUGGACCGUGUACAAGUCUCCUGGAAUGGAGCGUCAUAGAGGGUGAGAAUCCCGUCUUUGACACGGACUGCCAGGGCUUUGUGAUGCGCUCUCAAAGAGUCGAGUUGUUUGGGAAUGCAGCUCAAAAUGGGUGGUAAAUUCCAUCUAAAGCUAAAUAUUGGCGAGAGACCGAUAGCGAACAAGUACCGUGAGGGAAAGAUGAAAAGAACUUUGGAAAGAGAGUUAAACAGUACGUGAAAUUGCUGAAAGGGAAACGCUUGAAGUCAGUCGCGUUGGCCAGGGAUCAACCUUGCUCUUGCUUGGUGUACUUUCUGGUUGACGGGUCAGCAUCAAUUUUGACUGUUGGAAAAAGGUCAAGGGAAUGUGGCAUCUUUGGAUGUGUUAUAGCCCUUGGUUGUAUACAAUGGUUGGGAUUGAGGAACUCAGCACGCCGCAAGGCCGGGUUUUUAACCACGUACGUGCUUAGGAUGCUGGCAUAAUGGCUUUAAUCGACCCGUCUUGAAACACGGACCAAGGAGUCUAACAUGCCUGCGAGUGUUUGGGUGGAAAACUCGAGCGCGCAAUGAAAGUGAAAGUUGAGAUCCCUGUCGUGGGGAGCAUCGACGCCCGGACCAGACCUUUUGUGACGGUUCCGCGGUAGAGCAUGUAUGUUGGGACCCGAAAGAUGGUGAACUAUGCCUGAAUAGGGUGAAGCCAGAGGAAACUCUGGUGGAGGCUCGUAGCGAUUCUGACGUGCAAAUCGAUCGUCAAAUUUGGGUAUAGGGGCCGAAAGACUAAUCGAAUCAUCUAGUAGCU